rnacentral:rRNA from 1 species
UAGUCCACACCGUAAACGAUGAGCACUAGGUGUUGGGCUCGCAAGAGUUCGGUGCCGCAGUUAACGCAUUAAGUGCUCCGCCUGGGGAGUACGUACGCAAGUAUGAAACUCAAAGGAAUUGACGGGGACCCGCACAAGCAGCGGAGCAUGUGGUUUAAUUCGAAGCAACGCGAAGAACCUUACCAGGGCUUGACAUCCCUCUGACCGGCCUGAUAACGAUGGCCUUUCUUCGGACAGAGGUGAC